rnacentral:rRNA from 1 species
AUUGAACGCUGGCGGCAGGCCUAACACAUGCAAGUCGAACGAGUGGCGGACGGGUGAGUCAUGUCUGGGAAACUGCCCGAUGGAUGGGGAUAACUCCUGGAAACGGUAGCUAAUACCGCAUACCAUCGGAUGUGCCCAGAUGGGAUUAGCUAGUAGGUGGGGUAACGGCUCACCUAGUCGACGAUCCCUAGCUGGUCUGAGAGGAUGACCAGCCAGACUGGAACUGAGACACGGGCCAGACUCCGACGGGAGGCAGCAGUGGGGAAUAGUGCACAAUGGGCGCAAGCCUGAUGCAGCCAGGCCGCGUGUAUGAAGAAGGCCUGCGGGUUGUAAAGUACUUUCAGCGAGGAGGCGUUACUCGCAGAAGAAGCACCGGCUAACUCCGUGCCAGCAGCCGCGGUAAUAC